rnacentral:misc_RNA from 1 species
GAUGCAUGCGCACACACUCGUGCCACAAAAAAAAAAGAGGAUGGAGUGGGGCCACUGUGGAUGAGGUGAGGGAGACACAUGACCUCUCUUCUCGGUCAAACCUCCCUGCCGUGGAGUACCGCUGCUGGGGGGUGACAAUGAUGCCCCGAUGGAAGCUGCCCUUCCACGUGGGCGCUUGCAGCGUCAAACGCAUGCUGCUGAGCAAACGCUCGAGUCCUCGUGCCGGUUCUCUCUGCAGGCACAGAACAGUGCCCUGCGUUUCUCGAAGAGCGAAGGUCUUGUAGAUGGGCGUGCUGCCUCUUAUGACUGAACCCGUAAGCGACGCUCUAGUUGUUUUCCCUCUCACGGAACAUCCCUUGACUGCGCCUCACCUGCGUGGGUGCCACCGCGCACCGCCAUCUUCUGCUUUCUUCGCACAACACUGCGCGCCCCCGUCUCAUCCCCCGCGCACCUUUACGCAUGCACAUAUCCGGUCGCAUCGCUCACACCCACCCACUAACCCACCCCAG